UACGGAAGGCAGCAGUGGGGAAUAUUGCACAAUGGGCGAAAGCCUGAUGCAGCUAUGCCGCGUGUAUGAAGAAGGCCUUAGGGUUGUAAAGUACUUUCAUCGGGGAGGAAAAACAAAACUAAUAAUUUUAUUUCUUGACGUUACCCGAAAAAGAAGCACCGGCUAACUCCGUGCCAGCAGCCGCGGUAAUACGGAGGGUGCUAGCGUUAAUCAGAAUUACUGGGCGUAAAGAGCACGUAGGUGGUUUUUUUAAGUCAGAUGUGAAAUCCCUGGGCUUAACCUGGAACUGCAUUUUGAAACUGAAAUACUAGAGUAUCGUAGAGGGAGGUAGAAUUCUAGGUGUAGCGGUGAAAUGCGUAGAUAUCUGGAGGAAUACCUGUGGCGAAAGCGGCCUCCUAAACGAAUACUGACACUGAGGUGCGAAAGCGUGGGGAGCAA
rnacentral:rRNA from 1 species